rnacentral:rRNA from 1 species
CCUACGGGAGGCAGCAGUGAGGAAUAUUGGUCAAUGGACGGAAGUCUGAACCAGCCAUGCCGCGUGCAGGAAGACGGCUCUAUGAGUUGUAAACUGCUUUUGUACGAGGGUAAACGCAGGUACGCGUAUCUGUCUGAGAGUAUCGGAAGAAUAAGGAUCGGCUAACUCCGUGCCAGCAGCCGCGGUAAUACGGAGGAUUCAAGCGUUAUCCGGAUUUAUUGGGUUUAAAGGGUGCGUAGGCGGUCGGAUAAGUUAGAGGUGAAAUCCCGAGGCUCAACUCCGGAAGUGCCGUUGAUACUGUGCGGCUAGAGAGUAGGUGGGGUAGGCGGAAUGUAUGGUGUAGCGGUGAAAUGCUUAGAGAUCAUACAGAACACCGAUCGCGAAGGCAGCGUACCAAGCUACUUCUGACGUUGAGGCACGAAAGCGUGGGGAGCAAACAGGAUUAGAUACCCGUGUAGUC